rnacentral:sRNA from 1 species
CGGCAGCUGCGCCGCCAAGCCCGGGCCCAGCCCGCGGCCACCACUCACUCGGCAGCGCCUCACACACUGCCUCCCCCCCUCCCCGGGGGGAAGGCUUUUUAAUUUAUUUAUUCUGCUGGGACUGAGGUGGGGGGCUCGGCUGGCGGGGGAGAGGGGGGUCUCCACGGCUUCUACCUCCCCCGCGGCUGGGGCUACCCUUCGAGCUACGGAACACUCCACGGUGUGCGCCCCCAGGGCCUCCCAAACUGUUUCUAAACUGCCCAGACCGGAGGUGGACGCGUGGAGGCUCGGCGAAAGGGCUGGGUUUCGAGUGGGGUGAUUGUGUGUGUUCGACUACUAGGAGCCUGGGGAGGGAGGCAGACGUCGACCCCAAACGAGUUGCAAUCGAGGUAUCUCCGAUCCCGCUUCCUCUUCGGCCCGCACACCCCCUCCCUCCCUGGAGCUGUGCUGGGGAGGGGAAACCAAGAUUUGGAAGCACCUUAGCCUUCACAUUCCUGGGAGGAUACAGCCCUCGCCUGGAACUGGAAGAUAGCUCUUUAUUUUUUUCCUUUUUUCCUCUCUUUUUAUUUUUGGAGGGGAUCGCCCAGUGAUUGUCUUGAACACAUGCUUCUUCCUCCCUCCUUCCUCCAGCCACCAGCGACGGAGAGUCCCCUUUUUUGCAUUUAUCAUUUUCCUUCCCCUUUCUUUAUUAAAGGUCCGGGAGUGGCGGCGGCCAAUCAGCGCUCGGCUUCCAUUUUGUGAGUGCAACUCUGAGGCUUCCCCGGCUUUCGCGUGGAUCUGUUUGCAGACCUCUCGGUCUCUCUUUUGGGCUGCCGAGGCGAAGCAGCCGCCUCGCCGGGGCUUCGUGGUGGUGUAUUUCAUAUUGGGGCUCUUUUUCGGGGUUUGUAAUUUGGCCGUGGGUAGGUAAUUGGCUGGAGCAGGGCGGCAGGGCGCGGCAGCCAAUCAGCACGCGGCUUCUAUAGGGCUUGAGUUAUUAGACGCUGAUCUCAAAACAUCCUUCAUCAGACUCCAAGGAGAGGCCAACAGAUGAGGGGAGCCAUUUUUCUGCAAUGGAAUUAAAUGGCCAAGUGGGUUUUUCCUUUGUUGCAAAUGGGGAAUGCUUUUCCUUUGACUCCACCAUCCAGUUCAGGACGCCUGAAUGUGUUUAACAUUUGCCAAAGGACUCACACUUGGAAGAAUGAAGAAGACCUUUUAAAAAGAUCUGGAUCUUUCCUUAUGACUUGGAAUCCAUCUUUGUCUUGUAUAACUAGGUCAUAGCACACUAUUAAUGUCAGCAGUUAACAGUUUUGAAUUCAAAAAAACCUAAGUAAAUGACAUAUUUAAUUUUUUUCCUCUUUUUUUCUUGGGUGGGUGGAGGGGAGAGCUUGGAGCUGUCUUAAUCUGUAUUCUCUUGACUGAACAAUAAAUUUUUAAAUAUAGUUUCCUCUAUUAAACACUUAAGCCUGACCAUCUUAUUAACUCUUUUUUAACAAGGUAAUGUUUUAAAUGUAUAGUUGUAGCGAAAUGGCAACAAUAACAAAAAUCUGUGAGCUGUUGUUACUGUUAAGUUUUCUAAAAACCUUUUACAUUGUAAGUACCCAAUCCAUUCUGUCCUUACUGCACUUGAGUUUUCGUGUUACUGUCGCCUGAGAUGAACUGAAUUUUCGGAACCUUCAUCUGCAUGUGUUGUCUUUGUCUCUGUCUGAUGUAAGUCAGUUAAAAUGCUUUUAGACCUUUGCUUCUAUAAAAAUACGAUUUUUUUAGCUUCAAGCUUUUUGGGGGAAAAAAUGUUUACAGCAAUAGUUGCUAUUCAGAUUUCUUCCCAGUAGCUCUUAACACUUUCUUUGAAAAUCGAUCUAUUUGAAGAAAAACAGCUGUUUUUCUCGACUUGGGUGUGGGGUGGUGGAGGGUGAAAGAAAGGAAGACCUUUUGUAUAAAAAAACUGAAAGCCGUCACUGAAAAUUAGAUUAAAACUGGACAAAAAGCCCUAGCCGGUUCAAGCCAAACACCUACGUUAACUCGGUGGUAUUUUCUCUGUCGGUUGGGAUGGCUGGUGAGCUAUUUUGCCUUUUGUUUGAUUUGACUGUGUUUUUGCCUUUUGUUUCUUAAUGAUGAUCACACCAUUGGUAAAUCCAGAGCAGUAAACAGUCCUCAGCGAAGCCGCCUUUUUGCCAGCCCAACCCUGGAAAGUUUGCAGUCGUGGAAGGAGCAGAAAUACCAUGAGUGUAACUUACAAAAAGGUCUUGGCCGGAGACCGGAGCAAUGUCUGUGUUGUCCCCACAGUAGACACUCCUUGCUUCCUCUGGACAACUGGAGCAGGCCUAGUUUGACUGACAAGCCUUCCCACUAAGGUAGGUAAGAGCCCUUUCCCGAGUUGAGAGAACUGACUCUGGGAGCUUUGACCUGCGGCCUUCGAAGCGCUGGUUGUGAUCCCCAAACCCGCUGGGCUGGUUCUGCAGCCCCUCCCCCACGCUGAUGUGGCUGAUGUGGCGGUUGUGUGUGUGAAAUGGGCGGCCUGCUGGGUCCAUCCAGCCCCGCCUGUCAGCUUCUGCUGUCGGGCGUUUAGGGCGGGCGAUUCUCUUGCCGAAUUUAGCAGCUUACUAGAGCAGGACUACGAAGUAUUUCCCAGUGGUGUGUUUUAUGGUGGGUGGGAGGGCCCUGGAAGCUUCUGAAGACAGAGACUGCUGUCAGACUUGCCAAUGGUGCUUCAGACAGUCUUCCUGAACCCCAUUGGGGUGACCAAAUGAGCCACCUUCUGAUGUCUGGCUUGCUGGAUAGACAAAGAACCAAAGACCUGAAGUGUUAUCCAGCUUCCCGGGGGGAAAAGAUUUCCUUGGCUUCUCCUUUUCCCGGAUCCUCCUGUCAACAAGGCCAGGUGUUGCUAGCUUGGUGUCUAGAAUGUGUCAAAGCUGGACAGGAAAGUAGGCUGGCCCUUAACCUGUCCGUAAUGACCUUACAUAUUCUGAGCAGAGUCUGCCCAACUGCACCGGCAUCAGAAGUCAGUGGUGGAACCCAUUGACCCUGACCGUGCCUGUCUCUCGGGUUUCUUCUCUUUUUAGACAGUACAUCUAAGAAUUUGCACUUCUUACAAGGCCCCAGGUACUGUCAGGUUUCUAGAUUCCUAGUAAGUGACACCUGGGAUGUUGCCCGGCUUGGUGGCUAGCAGUUGGCUUGCCCUCCUCCCAGGCAGGAAGCUUCGCGGCUGAAAUCCGUGUGGCCCUUGAUCUCUGACCCUUGCCCCCCUAGUGUGUUUCUCGUUACGUUACUUUGAUAAGCCAUUUGGCCGCAGGUGUCGCGGAUCCUGCUGGCUUCCCCGGUUAGGGCCUCAGCAUCCAGCCUCUUGUCUUCCCUUUACCCCUCACCCCUACAGUGAGUACUGACGUGUGGGUUAGGGAGCCUGGAAGGCUUCCGAACUGCGUUGUUGUCGGAGGUGUCUUGGUGCCUUGAAUCAGGGAUGCUUCAAGCCUGGCAACUGUAGGCUAGAUGUGGCCCAAGCUAGUGACCUUGGACCAGUGUCUCUCUCCCUCCCCACCCCCGUGGAGGAAAAAAAAAAAAAAAGCCCACAAUACCUGCUGGAAAAGGUUGGUGGGAGGAUUAAGUGAGAUUAAGGGGGCCAGACGCCUGCUCUGACCUCACAACCAGUUGGCCUCCAUUGUGAUAAGUACUGUUGCUGGGAGUGGCUGCUGGCUGCGCGGGUGGGGGCUGGGCUGUAUCCCCGGCUCCUCCCCGCCAGCCCACUUCCUGAAGCACGUGCUGGAGCCUCCAGGCAAAGGAGAAAGAAAACUGGCUCUGCUUGGGAAGGCAGCCAGCCCUGUUUUUCUUCCAGUGUUUGAGUCCAGCCUGUUCCCGGGCUCGAUGAGCUGUUCUUUGGUUGGGUCAUGAUUUUAAGGGCCACCCACCAAUGGCCCCAAGAGAAGAAAUGUCUCACCCAAGGUUAUGAGGCCACGACAGACAGAACGUGGACAGGGUUCCAGGUGUCUUGAUUUUCAGCCCAGAGCCUGGGCCCAUGACACCCCCUUGCCCAGCUGUCUGGGUUAUUUUAGGCUCCCUCCCGUGCCAGCUGUCUGCUUUUAUCACUGCCAGAGAGCUGUCUGGUAACAAGGAACCACAAUGGUCCUGUGGCUCCUGCCGGUACAGAGGGCCAGGCAUGAAGUCUGCGGAUGAGCCGGCUUUAUGCUGGGAAGGCGAACUCCUCACCCCAAUUGGGGGGGAGGGGAGAAAAGCGCUUUCCUAAGUUGAUUUCGUUCGUACUACAGAUACCCUAGAAGCCUUCUAAUACACUUGAUCUACCCACGGGCUCUGGUUAGAGUCCUUGGGUCUGGGGUCUUUAUCUCCUCCCGCCGCAAACUAAUUGAUUUAAGUCGCGAUGUAGCAGCUGUACCCCUGAGGGCUACAGGCUUUAGGGAUCAAUUAGGCGCUAAACUGGGAUGUGUUUGAAAGGGGAAGAUGGAAGUGAUCGGGCCAACUUGUGACUGUCGCUACUUGACGCUUUUUCACCUCCCUUUCUCCUUUUUUGGCACCCUUAUCACCCCCUGGGCAGUAGGGUGGGGCAGUUUGUCCUGCUGUUGUUCCUGGCCCCGAGAGGUGCCACGCCUACUGGUCACCCACUGAGCUUGGGGCGGGGCUGCUUUGGCCUGCGGAGAGAGGGCCACGCCAGCGGAAGGCUUGCCUGAACCGGGAGGUGCCUGGACUAGCUUUACUACACAGAUUCCAGUGUCCCCGCCCCUUCCGGCUCCUCCACCUGGCCUGGAGCCCAAGUUUGGAAUAUGACCUUUUAGACUCUCUGAGCAACCGAGAUGGGUCGAAAAACCCGCCAUCACCGCUCUCCGGCCCCCCGUGUUUUCUCCGAUUGUUCCGUGCCCUCAGGCGAGUUCUUGCCGUAGGGAACCAGGAGGGGAACGUUAAACAAAAACUUCUUGAGCUAUUUCUAAAAUUUUCGUGUGAUGGAGGAGGGUCUUGCCGUGCCCGGACUAGCCCUAGUGACAGCUUAGAACCGUAGGUACACUCCUCUGCACCAGCGUUAGCUGAUUUUCAGCCUGGCUUCCAGACGUGACUUGCCCAUCCUCCGCUCAGUCCUUAGAGCUGCUGCUAGGCAGCUGAGACCUGGAGGGAGACUGCCGAGUUAGGUAGAUAAGAUAGCCUGCACCCUAGGCAGCCCGGCUUCACCCCUCUACUUUAUCUCUAGGCUCUAGCUGGAGUCUAUCUCCACCUCGUAUCUGUACCAUCUGCAUUUGGAUAGCUCAAUAAUUGAUUUAUGGAGCCUCUGAGAAAGGGGAGUGGAGGCUUCAGCCUCCCCCACCCCAAUUUGUACUUUGUCCUGAACGACGGCCGUUAGUGUGCCUCUGCUCCCCUGGAUCUGUGGUUUAGUCUUCCCAGUGACCACCUGGCAGCUCCCUGAGGGGUUUUGAAGCAAGAACCAGUGGAAGGAAUUUUUUGCUUUCCUAUGCUCUCCAGGAAUUCCUGGACAAUCAGAGUGACCCAGGCCCCCCAGAACAUCUUGCAGAUGAGGGAGUAAGCCACCCUGAGUGGGUGAGUGUGUGUAUCUCCUCAGCUGGGCCGGCUUGGCCCUGCCUGACCUCUGAGGAGGCUCUCAGAAGCAGCUGGCUGGAUUCCUAGGUAUUUUUAGCUACAGAUUUAGCCCCACCAUCACCACGAGCUGAGUCCAGAUCCAACACUCUAGGCCUGGUAGUGCUGGGGCUCUGCCAGCCUCCUGCUGAGGUGGAGCUGGGUGGGUAGGCAGGCUGGAACCGGUGGCAGUGUGCUGCCUGAACCCACCGGAGCCAGAACUAUUCGCUUCUCGUCAUUUCCUCCAUGCAGCUUCCUGCAGACUUGCUCUGUCACCGAGGCUGGAGAGUGGAGAUGCAGGGCUGGGGAAUUUGUGGGAAGCCAGGAGCCCUCUCUUGGUUAUACGUAGUAGAACAAGUUCUUUUUCUUAGAAGUGAAUUUUCCCCACUGGCAAACGCAGCCAGUCAGUCUCCUGAGUCAAGAGCCAAGCCAAAAGACACCCCAGAGAAGAAACCUGGGGUCCUGCAAAGGUAAGCGGUUCCCAACUUACUCCAAAUCUUCCUCUCUUUGUACCAUUUUUAUUCCAAUGGCCUGCUCUUCUUCUGAGGAACCCCACCACCUCUGGCAUAUCAAUGGAAAUUGUCCUGGUUCUUUACUUUUUUUUCUGCCGCCCUCAUGAGCCACUAAGAGAUAGCCUAGCCCUUCCUCCCCUUGACAGGACUCGGUUGAGUCUUGUCUGUUGUGUUUCUUUGCAGCCCUCCUCCCCCCUUCAACCAGCACUUAGGCCCUCCCUGAUUUAGCCCGUUACCUUGACAACCACUUGGGCCUGUCUCCCUUAUCGCCACUGAAAACCUGAAGGUUUUCCAGCUGUGGUACAUUUGCCCGAGUUGGGCACCCCUCCAGCGUCUAUUGGCUCGCCCUCCGUGCUGUAGCCAAUAUAACAAACACAACCUUCCCGGUCCCUCAGCUGUGGUCUCGAAAUUGAUCUCACUGGUCCCGGGAACUCCCAUCACCUCCUCCAGACUGAGCUCCUCACAGGCGGGAACAUGGUUGUUUCUCAAUAAACAAGUUGAAAAAGGAA